GAGUUUGAUCCUGGCUCAGAUUGAACGCUGGCGGCAUGCCUUACACAUGCAAGUCGAACGGUAACAGGUCUUCGGAUGCUGACGAGUGGCGAACGGGUGAGUAAUACAUCGGAACGUGCCCGAUCGUGGGGGAUAACGAAGCGAAAGCUUUGCUAAUACCGCAUACGAUCUACGGAUGAAAGCAGGGGACCGCAAGGCCUUGCGCGAACGGAGCGGCCGAUGGCAGAUUAGGUAGUUGGUGGGAUAAAAGCUUACCAAGCCGACGAUCUGUAGCUGGUCUGAGAGGACGACCAGCCACACUGGGACUGAGACACGGCCCAGACUCCUACGGGAGGCAGCAGUGGGGAAUUUUGGACAAUGGGCGAAAGCCUGAUCCAGCCAUGCCGCGUGCAGGAUGAAGGCCUUCGGGUUGUAAACUGCUUUUGUACGGAACGAAAAGACUCUGGUUAAUACCUGGGGUCCAUGACGGUACCGUAAGAAUAAGCACCGGCUAACUACGUGCCAGCAGCCGCGGUAAUACGUAGGGUGCAAGCGUUAAUCGGAAUUACUGGGCGUAAAGCGUGCGCAGGCGGUUAUAUAAGACAGAUGUGAAAUCCCCGGGCUCAACCUGGGAACUGCAUUUGUGACUGUAUAGCUAGAGUACGGCAGAGGGGGAUGGAAUUCCGCGUGUAGCAGUGAAAUGCGUAGAUAUGCGGAGGAACACCGAUGGCGAAGGCAAUCCCCUGGGCCUGUACUGACGCU
rnacentral:rRNA from 1 species